CAAAUUUGAAAUCUGGUCCGUUCCGGGCCCGAGUUGUAAUUUGCAGAGGGAGUUUCGGGCGCGGCGCGGGUCUAAGUCCCUUGGAACAGGGCGUCACAGAGGGUGAGAGUCCCGUAUGUGCCCCGCGACCAAGCCUGUGCGAAACCCCUUCGACGAGUCGAGUUGUUUGGGAAUGCAGCUCUAAACGGGUGGUAAAUUCCAUCUAAAGCUAAAUACCGGCCAGAGACCGAUAGCGCACAAGUAGAGUGAUCGAAAGAUGAAAAGCACUUUGGAAAGAGAGUCAAACAGUACGUGAAAUUGUUGAAAGGGAAGCGCUUGCGACCAGACCCGCCCGGGGGGGAUCAGCGGCCGUUCUCGGCCGUGCAUUCCCCCCCACCGGGCCAGCAUCGGUUCGGGCGGUCGGACAAAGGCUGCGGGAACGUACCUCCCUUUCGGGGGAGUCUUAUAGCCCGCGGUGCAAUGCGACCAGCCUGGACCGAGGACCGCGCUUCGGCUUGGAUGCUGGCGUAAUGGUCGUCAGCGACCCGUCUUG
rnacentral:rRNA from 1 species